UACGAGGGGGGCUAGCGUUGCUCGGAAUCACUGGGCGUAAAGGGCGCGUAGGCGGCCCCGAUCAUCAGGCGUGAAACCCCCGGGCUCAACCCGGGAUCGUCGCUUGACAUGGCGGGGCUGGAGUGCAGGAGAGGGUCGUGGAACUCCCGGUGUAGAGGUGAAAUUCGUAGAUAUCGGGAAGAACUCCGGUGGCGAAGGCGGCGACCUGGCCUGCGACUGACGCUGAGGCGCGACAGCGUGGGGAGCAAACAGG
rnacentral:rRNA from 1 species